rnacentral:rRNA from 1 species
CCUACGGGUGGCAGCAGUGGGGGAUAUUGCACAAUGGGGGAAACCCUGAUGCAGCGACGCCGCGUGUGGGAAGACGGUCUUCUGGAUUGUAAACCACUGUCCCCAGGGACGAAAAUGACGGUACCUGGGGAGGAAGCUCCGGCUAACUACGUGCCAGCAGCCGCGGUAAUACGUAGGGAGCAAGCGUUGUCCGGAAUUACUGGGUGUAAAGGGAGCGUAGGCGGGGAUGCAAGUUGGGUGUCAAAACUACCGGCUCAACCGAUAGUCGCACUCAAAACUGCAACUCUUGAGUGAAGUAGAAGCAGGCGGAAGUCCUAGUGUAGCGGUGAAAUGCGUAGAUAUUAGGAGGAACACCAGUGGCGAAGGCGGCCUGCUGGGCUUUUACUGACGCUGAGGCUCGAAAGUGUGGGGAGCAAACAGGAUUAGAUACCCGGGUAGUC